AGUGAACGCUGGCGGUAGGCCUAACACAUGCCAGUCGAACGGCAGCACAGUAAGAGCUUGCUCUUACGGGUGGCGGGUGGCGGACGGGUGAGGCAUACAUCGGAAUCUACUUUUUCGUGGGGGAUAACGUAGGGAAACUUACGCUAAUACCACAUACGACCUACGGGUGAAAGCAGGGGAUCAUCGGACCUUGCGCGAUUGAAUGAGCCGAUGUCGGAUUAGCUAGUUGGCGGGGUAAAGGCCCACCAAGGCAACGAUCCGUAGCUGGUCUGAGAGGAUGAUCAGCCACACUGGAACUGAGACACGGUCCAGACUCCUACGGGAGGCAGCAGUAGGGAAUCUUGGACAAUGGGCGCAAGCCUGACCCAGCCAUACCGCGUGGGUGAAGAAGGUCUUCGGGUUGUAAAGCUCUUUUGUUGGGAAAGAAAAGCAGCGGGUUAAUCUCUCGCUGUCCUGACGGUACCUAAAGAAUAAGCACCGGCUAACUUCGUG
rnacentral:rRNA from 1 species